UACGAGGGGGGCGAGCGUUGUUCGGAAUUAUUGGGCGUAAAGAGUGCGUAGGCGGUUUGAUAAGUCUGAUGUGAAAUCUAUGGGCUCAACCCAUAGCCUGCAUUAGAAACUGUCGGGCUUGAGUAUGGGAGAGGUGAGUGGAAUUUCCGGUGUAGCGGUGAAAUGCGUAGAUAUUGGGAGGAACACCAGUGGCGAAGGCGGCUCACUGGACCGGAACUGACGCUGAGGCGCGAAAGCGUGGGGAGCAAACGGG
rnacentral:rRNA from 1 species